rnacentral:rRNA from 1 species
UACGUAGGGUGCAAGCGUUAAUCGGAAUUACUGGGCGUAAAGCGUGCGCAGGCGGUUUUGUAAGACAGGUGUGAAAUCCCCGGGCUUAACCUGGGAACUGCAUUUGUGACUGCAAGGCUGGAGUGCGGCAGAGGGGGAUGGAAUUCCGCGUGUAGCAGUGAAAUGCGUAGAUAUGCGGAGGAACACCGAUGGCGAAGGCAAUCCCCUGGGCCGAUACUGACGCUGAGGAGCGAAAGCGUGGGGAGCGAACAGG